rnacentral:misc_RNA from 1 species
AAGGAUCAUUACCGAGUGAGGGCCCUCUGGGUCCAACCUCCCACCCGUGUUUAUUUACCUUGUUGCUUCGGCGGGCCCGCCUUAACUGGCCGCCGGGGGGCUCACGCCCCCGGGCCCGCGCCCGCCGAAGACACCCUCGAACUCUGUCUGAAGAUUGUAGUCUGAGUGAAAAUAUAAAUUAUUUAAAACUUUCAACAACGGAUCUCUUGGUUCCG